UACGGAGGGAGCAAGCGUUGUUCGGAAUUACUGGGCGUAAAGGGCGUGUAGGUGGUUGACUAAGUCAGGUGUGAAAGCCCUCAGCUCAACUGAGGAAGCGCAUCUGAAACUGGUUAACUUGAGUACGGGAGAGGAGAGUGGAAUUCCUGGUGUAGAGGUGAAAUUCGUAGAUAUCAGGAGGAACAUCGGUGGCGAAGGCGACUCUCUGGACCGAUACUGACACUGAGACGCGAAAGCGUGGGGAGCAAACAGG
rnacentral:rRNA from 1 species